CCACUUCUUCCUCUUUUUUCACCUCUUCUUCUUUCUCUUCUUCUCCUUCUUCUCCUUCUUGGAUAGGAUUAUCCUUUAAAAUAAAAUUGAUUGAGUCUACCUCCUCAUGUGGGCCAUCAUGUAUGAAAAUUUCUAGAGCAUCCAACUCGACAUCUAUUGAAGACCAAUGAAAUCCUAACGUUUCAUCCUCCCAAAAGUAUUCUGAUAAUUGGAGCUCUUCUUCUUCUUCGAGUGCAUAAUGAAUGGCUCGAGACUUAACCUUAUACACAGCCUACCAAUCUUUCCUUUCUCUCUCCCUUGAUGGAAAAGGAGUAU
rnacentral:lncRNA from 1 species